AAGGAUUUAAGUUAAAAAAACUAUUAACCUUCAAAGUUAAAAAUAGGAAAACCUAAGCCUUA
rnacentral:tRNA from 1 species